CUCAGUCUUACACUGGAUAGAAGCCUACUAGCUUGCGCGCAAUUCGGGCAACAUACAACCCAUAUGUCCAGGCUAGAAGCAGGAUAGAUCAGCUGAAGAGAUUGGGUCACAGUGUAGACAAGGUCGAGCUCAUCUUAAUGGGCGGUACUUUCAUGUCGUUGCCCGCGGAUUACUUUAGGCG